UACGGGGGGGGUAAGCGUUGUUCGGAAUCACUGGGCGUAAAGGGCGCGUAGGCGGCCAUUCAAGUCGAGUGUGAAAGCCCCCGGCUCAACUGGGGAGGGUCAUUCGAUACUGAUCGACUCGAAGGCAGGAGAGGGUAGUGGAAUUCCCGGUGUAGUGGUGAAAUGCGUAGAUAUCGGGAGGAACACCAGUGGCGAAGGCGACUACCUGGCCUGUUCUUGACGCUGAGGCGCGAAAGCUAGGGGAGCAAACGGG
rnacentral:rRNA from 1 species